GCUCCGCCUGUCGGCACGACGCGGCUGGCUGCAGCAGCUCAGCUUCGGGAGCGUCGUCAUCACCAAGCCCGAGGAAGACCGCAUCUACACGAUGACUGACGCAACUCCAUGGACUCCGCUCCUGUCAUUGUGCACGGAACCCAAGCCGAUCGAAUUCCAGCAGAUCAUUCCAAAUAACUCCAAGGUGGCA
rnacentral:lncRNA from 1 species